rnacentral:rRNA from 1 species
UACGGGGGGGGCAAGCGUUGUUCGGAAUUACUGGGCGUAAAGGGUUCGUAGGUGGCCUACUAAGUCAGACGUGAAAUCCCUCAGCUCAACUGGGGAACUGCGUCUGAGACUGGAAGGCUUGAGUGCAGGAGAGGAACGCGGAAUUCCAGGUGUAGCGGUGAAAUGCGUAGAUAUCUGGAGGAACACCGGUGGCGAAGGCGGCGAUCUGGCCCAACACUGACACUCAGACCCGAAAGUGCGGGGAUCAAACAGG